GUUUGUGUUUAACCUAAACCAGUCACCAUCCUGCUUGUCAUCAAAAUGUUGCUCUUUUUAACUGCUUUGAUUUGUUCUCUUAUAUGUGUCACGUUUGCGAAUGUCAUCACACCAGUUGACAGCGAGGUUUAUGGGACAGAGGAGGAAACUUUAACUCUGUCCUGUGAUUACUCCUCAGCAUCCACACUACAGUGGUAUCGCCAAUAUCCUGGAUCAGCUCCUGAAUUUCUGUUACUCAUUCUGGAUGCUACUGGAAGAGUUUCACAAGUGUCAGAUAUUGUGACUCUAGAUCCUCGAUUCUCUGGAAAAUUAAAUGAAAAGAAAACUCAAGUGCAUCUGGAGAUCUCAUCUGUUAAAGUCACAGACUCUGCUCUGUAUUACUGUGCCAUGGAGCCCACAGUGACAGGAAACACAACAUCACUGUACAAAAACCUGACAUAUACAUUAGAAAAGACAGCGCAGGAGAGAAGGUGUACAGAGCAACAUUUUCACAUUGAGAUGAAUAUGAGAGGUGCAGAGUUUACCAGUGUUUACCCCAAUUCCUUUAUGUAG